UGUCUCUGAAACAGAAGAGCUUGUCCUGCUUGGAUCUUCCUGGUUGAGCCCCUGGCUGUCCCAGAAACUUGUCGCUAUCUCUCUUCCACAGGAUGAAGUGGAGCUGUGACCUCUAGUUACCAUCAAACGUCUGCUUCUUACAUUGUCUCUCCUGUCCUAAGCGAGCUCUUAGCUUCUACGUCCUUUCCGUUUCCCCAGACUCUGCCGUGAGUGACUAUAACUGCCUCCCGCUGCAUCCAUGGGACGGCAUCUCUCCAUCACAGCUUCCGGAUGGCCAGUCCCUGCUGAUUUCCCCUGCUUUGUGCAGUCCAGAUGUAUGAGUCUUGACUCACUUCCUCUGUAGGCUAAUGACUCACCACUCCCCAGAUGCUGUAACCUCUGCCUGCCACUUUUUCAGGGAAGUGUCCUCACUCUUAGGUCCCACUUGUUGUACACUCCCUCCUUUUUCUUCAUAGCCUGUCUUUCCAGGCAUAGUUAAAUAUCCGCUUUACGAUUCACGUGUUGUUUUGUGGUCUCCCCAGCUUGACCCCAAACUCCACGAAGGUGGAAUGAGAAGACUCAUGAGGCUUUAAUGUCUGGAAAAUUGAAAACUUAGAAGAUUCCAGAAGGUCCUCCCCGCUUUAUAAAAGCACAAACAACACCAGGGAGGAGUCUGCCACCCAGCUGCAGUGAAGACAGCCUAGGAUGUGUAGAGUGGCCUGCGAGUCAUGCAGAGUACUCUCAGACCACAGUUUUCUUAGCCAUUAACUGUGCUGCUUUCUGCUGAAACAUCCUGGCUCCUGUAAAUAAUUUCUCACCCUUAUACUCGUUAGUAGCUCCAAUAAAAAUGCAUUGUUUCACCAAGUUGGACUUUGGUGCAGUUCUUACUUUGGUCUGUUGUGGGUUUUUGUUCUGAAGUCAGUAGAAUUGUGUAGUGCCACAAGGUUUGACCUUGUGAAAUAGAAAAUUUAUCCUCUUAUUCACACUCUUACUCAUCCUCUCCAUAGUGGACACCACAGUUUGAAGAUCAUUUCUGGAAGAUGCCAAGUAGGAAAUUCACAUCCUUGGGUUCUGAGUACCAGAAAGGGAAGAAAGAAUGCAGAGAUGAGUCCUCCCAACCUCGAGGGAUGUGUUGUUGAAUGGCGAUGUCAUCUGUGGUUAACUUUUGGUUGCAGAGUGAGCAAAGCAACAAUAUGGUGAGUGCUAAUCCAACUGCUCUUUGAUUUUAUAACUGGGCUCUGCAUUCUGAUAUGAUCUUCCAUCCAUCACAGUUCUCUACUUGAUUGACCAUCUGUGCUCCUCAGAGUUUUAAACCACAUCUUGUUAAAAUAUGCACACUCAAAGCAGCGUGAACAUUAACCUCUUCAUUACAUCCCCCAAUCGUGGCUCAGCUUUAAGCCAAUGGAAACCAUCCGCAGUAAAUUGAGAACCUGGCACCUUGUAGUACCUUCUGCUCAUGUAAUCCAGAAGGUAUAGGAUGCCACAUUGUAGGGAACAUGUGCCAUUUUGUGUUAGCAAAAUUGUUAUUUAUAGACAUGGAGUCAUGUUUCUUUAAAAUGCUUUAAACACACAUUUAAUAAAUUCCAGAAAAGAGUAAAAUAUAAUCAUUGUGUUCAUUAGCUUGAACCAAGUCUGCAACUUCCCCAAGAUUUUACUCUUACUAUUGACUAUGUCUGUAACAAAAUAUUCACAAUCACCUUUUCAGUGACUUGGAGGAAGGGAAAUGAACAUUUUGAAAUGGGAAAGAGCAUGGUGUGUGUGGUUGUUGGCAGUGAGUUUUCCUAAACAAUGAUGUAACUUAUAAAUGAUUUACUCACGACAUGCCAGAGAAUGAAAGUGAAAUUAGUAAGGAUAUCUAACAACAACAACAACAACAAAAAAACAUUCCCUUAUCUACCCUUUUUCAGACAUGAUCAGGGAAAGGCGAGAUUAGUGUGAAAUAGGGGCCGAGAUGAAUGUCAUCGCCAUGGGUCCCCUGGCCUUCUUCUUCCUUCACUCUGAUGUGGAUCCUACAUGAUGAAGCCACCUAGAACAAGCAACGGAGGCUUGGCGGCUGGAGUUUAACCUGUAAGAUGAUGUGACAGCAGGCUCUGUUAGCUGUGAGGGGUUCCCACUGUCAUCACUCUUGAAAAAUUCCAGGGGAGAAGCAAGAAGGGGUCAGAUAAUGAAAAGAAAUCUUAAAAUAUUUAAAUGUAUAUAUAUACACAUAUAUACAUAUAUGUAUUUAUCAGUAAUCCAGGGGAAGAAACUUCAGCUUGUUAAGAAAAGAGGUACAAUGUUUAUUACUUUUAAAUAAAUACAGCAAUCCACCCAGGAGAGUAAAUCUCUGCUUAGCAGGAGCCCACAGGGAUCCUCACUUGAUGAAUACAUAAGAAUGCUUUCCAAUUACCUUAUCAAUGAUUUAUGAAUACAUAGUCCUCUGGGGUGUGUGCAAAUAUUUGGAAAACAUAAUUACUUACAGAAGGAUUCAACAAGCUAAAUUUUCUCUGUUUAACUAAAUGUUGUAGACACCAUUUGUUUACUUAGCAAAAUCCCUUCUUUCUAAACCAGGGAAGGAUACACUUGAGCCCACCUCCUGCUGGUGUUUUCAUGAAGGCCUAGUUCUUGGGCAUUGUAAUUAUGGGACUUUGUACAGCUUGAGAUGAUCUGUCCUGUGUUAAUCUGAAAACGGUGGCUUUACAGAGGCACCCCAGGAGGAAAGCAUUUCCCAGUGACCUGUUCCGGCUCUUCUUAGCCUGGCACACAAAACCAAGAGGAUGAACUGUGUUUGUUUGUCUCAUCAGGAAUAGUGAUGGGUAUCAUAAGAUGAAACCAAUAUAAGUUUUCACAUGCCACAGUGUGUGUGUGUCGGUCAAAGGAGGACACUCAGGAGGCUGGUCUUUCUUUCCACAGUGAAUUUUGGCUUUGAACUCAGGUCAUCAGUCUUGACAGUAAGUGUUUUUACCCACCAAACCAUCUCAUGGGUCCAAGAUUAAUUUAAUUUUGGAAAAUUGUAUUAAAAUAAACUAGUAUUUUAAGUCUUUAUGUAUUGUUUAAGUAUCCCUCAAAUUCUAACCUGAUAAUUAAAUUACUUAAACUUUUUUUUCUCUCAGAUUGUCCUUGUGCCUCUUGAUCUGACAGUUUGGGAUAAUGACAUCAUGGCAGUUGAAUUUUCUGCCAAGGACUGAUGGAUUGAGAAAUUUGAGGUGUAGGCAUGUUUGGACUUAAGGAGAAGAGACAUGUUCCAUAGCCUAAAAUAGUUAACUUGCUCACAAAGAUCAGUGGGAUUUACAAGUGCUCCUUCUUACACAGUCAAAUUGAAUACAAUCAGUGUUGAUGGGGUGAAGAGAGGUUUCAAUUUUCCUAGAAGAAAGAAAGGAAGGAAGGCAGGGAGAAAGAAAGAAAAACAAAACCAAAACUUUUGACAAGACUGAAUCAUCAAGGGCACUGAAGAAAUGUGGUCUGGGAAUUUGGUCUUAACUCAUUGUGAGGAAAGGCCUCUGUGGCAUGUCUCUGGUCCCUGGCAUAUUUGUUGGCCUUUAGUCCCAUGAACCCAGGAAAUGUCACACAGAGGCCUCUGAUGUCACAGUGUUGCAUUGUUUCUUUGUACGUUCCCAUCUCCCUCCUCUUUAGCUAAGGGCACCCAUAAGGGCAGAGAUUGUAUCUCACUGAUUUUUCUUCCAUGUGCAGUGCCUGGUGCUGGCUAAUUGAUGGAUGAAUGAACAAAAACCUUGCAGCAGGAAGCAGAGGUUGGAAGGCAGAAGGGAGAGUUUCUAUAUCCCCACAGUAACCCCUUUGGCUUGCACUAGACACCUGCUUUGGUCUUUAUUAUUAAUUCUAGACAUGAUCUAGAAUUGCCUGGGAGAUAGGGCUCUGGGUGUAUUUGUCAGGAAUGAUCUUGAUACACUAACCGACACGGACAGACCUGUCUACUGUGGGUGGCACCGUUCCCUGCCUGGGACCCUGCAUUUGCGUAAAUGAAGAAAGGGAAUCGAACAACAUGCAUGCAUUCAUUACUGUUUCCUUCUGACUGGGGACACAAUGUGCCAGUCACUUCAAGUUCCUGAUGGUUAAACUUCCUUGCCAUAAUGGUUGGCAUACUUUGAAAUGUGAGCUAAAAUAAACCGCAAGUGCUUUUGUCAGGGUAUUUUAUCACAGAAACAGAAAAGAAACAAAGACACCUGCCAUUGAGACACCUGUCAUUGAGACACCUGCCAUUGAAUGGACUGUGUCUUACCCAAAUUCAUCCUUGAAGUUCCAGGUCUCAGGGUGACUGUAUUUGGAGACAGAAGUUGAAGAGAGCUAUUAAAGGUAAGCAAGGUCACAAAUAUAGGGCUGUAAUUUGCCAGGACUGGCGAUGGUGGCUUUGUUUUAAAAAAUGAGGAGAAAUGUAUUGUGUGUAUGCUCUGAGGAAAACUGUGAGGAGAUGUACCUUGAGGCCAUCUGUGAGCCAUGAAGACGGCCCUCUUCAGAACUGACUGCAGUGACACCCUGUGAGCAAGUGAGUAUCGCUGCUUAAGCCCCCGGUCUGUGACGGUCUGUAAUGCCAGCCUGCGAGCGCCAGGACACCACUGUUUUUGAGUACCCACCUCUUGUUUGUUUUUUUUCUGACUGUUCUUCACACAGAGGUGGGGCUAUCCUUGUGGCUGGCUUUACAGAUCACAGCUGAUGGAGCCAAGCUGAAUACUAGACCCAGGUUUAUUUCUUCAGGGUUUAGGGUUACAGCUGACCAUCCAUCUGUUUCGGCUGCUCAAACUAAUGUUUUGUCAACAUGGAUAUCACAGGGCAGCACCUUUGCCUUGUGCAUGGGCACAUGAAGGGCUUCAGGGAGCCACACAGAAGAGGCUCAUCUGAGUGGCAGAGAAGUACCAGCGGCGUCUCUGCCUGCCUCGAGGACAUCCUACCUAUCCCUUUUUUGAGGCACUUCUGUUUCUCACUGUACCUGCUUAUCCCGUAAGCCACAUGGAGUGGAUUUUACUUUCUUUUCAUAAAACAUCUUGACAAUGAUGAGGCUUUUUGAAGUUCACUUUCCCUCUCUGGCUUGAGUUUUUAGCAAUGAUGAUUUAGACUAUGAAACAUGUACACUGUGGAUAAAGUCUUCCUCUUUAUUGGCAGGAGAUACUUUUCUAAGUGCCCAAUUCACUGGCAUAUUCUUUCUGAUAUUCCUCUCCCAGUUUAAUCCCAUGAUAGACUGUGUUUCUACAGUUUUUUCUGUCAAGUGGUGGUAGAUGCCAUACAUAUUUUCGAAAUUUGAAAUGGCAACUGAGAAAGAAAACUCUCCCAAACAAGAGCUGGUAACAGUUGUUUUUUUUUAAAUCAACACAUAUAUUCAUUGUAUAUGAUGCUGUGUGUGGAAGUAUCUCUCAGACAAGCAUACAUUGUGCACUGAGCACGUUCCUCAUCUCCUUCCUUCCUUCCUUUCUCCCUCUCUCUCUCCCUCCCUCCCUUCCUCCCUUCUUUCCCCUCUAGUUGGUUCCCUUUGUUCCCUAUACAAGUUUGCUUGUAAUUCAUUCAUAUGAAUACACAGACAGGUUUAUGUGUCUAUACAAAGUCAACCACACAUGAGAACAGGUACAUUUGUCUUCCUGGGACUGACUUAAUGUGAUCAUCUCCAGCAGCCU